UGCUGCAGACUGGUUCUCCACUCCUGCUCACAAUGCUGCUGCUCAGGUGGAACCUCGUCUUCAGAGACAGCAACAGAUAACGGAAGGGACUCUUGAGGGAAGGCGAAGAGGAGCAGAGAGUCUUGGAGCUGGAUGCUGCUGCAAUUCAGCACGUUUAUAUGUACAUUGAGGCUGGCUUCAACCUAGCCAAAAGACAGGGAUGGAACAUUAUUGGCCACCGUGCCAUUGUGAAUGUCCCUGGACAGCGUGGAGGGAAAAUGUGCGCAGCCGUUAGCCAGCAAGGCUUCCUCCAUCACCAUGCCAACCUUGGUCCCUACAACACCACCCUUCUCAUUACAUUCCUGGACACACUACAUGGCAUCCUCAUUCCAGCCGAGCAGAGGGGUGGACCAGAGCAGCCCAGGUAUGUUGUCAUCUGGGACAACGUGAGUUUCCACCGGGCUGCUCUGGUUGAUCGACCACCCACAAUUUAUUGUCCUAUACCUCCCACCAUAUUCCCCAUUCCUAAACCCAAUUGGAGACAUUUUUCUGGCAUGGCGAUGGAAGGUGUAUGACCGCCAUCCCCUCACACGCAUACCUCUUGUCCAGGCAAUGGAGGAUGCAUGAGGUGAAGUUGAUGUGGGGGCUUUCGGUGGCUGGAUCCGUCACUCCAGAAGAUUCUUUCCCUGUUGUUUAGCCAGGGAGAACAUCGCUUGUGAUGUAGAUGAGGUGUUGUGGCCAGACCAAAAUAUGAUGCAGUAUAUUGUCUUUGUUCUUACAUUUACAUGUGUUUUUGUCUUUUUGUGUUUAGAGUUUUGAAAGAAUGAGCCUAUUUUAUUUUUGUACAGAAAACCCUUUAUCUUACUGGAUGUUUUUCCUGGUCUUCUCCUGUUUGGUAUGGAAAGUGUUACAUACAAAACACAAGUGAUCAAAAAUACUGCAUUUGUGUUAUGUAUAUUUGAGUAGUAUACAUUGUUACACUGUAGCUGUUGUAAAAGAUUACUGUAACACUGAAAAGGCAUAAACCAACUGCUGGAUAUUCAUAGUGUUGAACACAUCAGUGUGUUGUUGGUUGGUAGAUCUACUCAAAUGCCGUGUUUCAUUUUGGUGCUUAAAAAAAAAAAAAACAUUUUGGAAAGAGAACCGUUUUGAAUGCAGUGUUUGCUUUUGCUAGAGAUUUGUUUAGUUUUGGGGAAAUGGGCCAAAGCUUCAGCAAAUGUGGAAACCUGUAAGACGAAAUUGAAAUCUCUGACAAAUAGAAAUGUUUUUUUAUGUAUCAAUAACAUCAGUCUGACCAUCACCCUGAGACAUUCCAAUACAAACAAGUAGAAGAGGAAGUCCAGUAGCUAUAGGAGUCAGGCUGGUUCCCAGACUUGCCCCUCUACAAGAUCAUCAGCAGACUAUCACCAUCUACCCUCCUCUGACCAGCUCUCUCUCUGCUCAAGCCAUGAACUGACCCUCUGUGGUGGAUGCAGCAUUCAAAGACUAGGCCUCUUGAUUGACCUGGGCUGUUAUAUUGCUUGUUUUUUUUUUUUGUGCUCUUGAACCCCUUUAGAUUCUAUGAAAAGCGCUGUUGAAUAAAUUAUUAUUUACCUGGUU